CAAAUUAUUCGCGGUCCAUCUCCCAGUUACCUUUCAUGUGUUGACAACGCGAAUCAUCAAAAUAAUUUGGGAAUAAAUUAAAUCACUUUUUCGUCUGUUUCACAGGGCGGUGGCUCCAUUGCUCAAUUCGUUGCGGUUCCUGAAUAAUAAAGGGGCGGUGCUUCUUGCCACUUCUGAGCGUCUUAUCUGACUGGGUACCGUUCCUUGCCUAUAAAACGUUCUUAUUGCUCAAACUCCAGUGCCCUAUUAACCAUUUACUCUGCACUUCAAGAGCGCAACUGGCUCACCUUCAAAUGUUGUUGAUCUCGUACGUCGUCUCAUGCGCUCCUUCAUUGGGCAUAUACCCUUAGUGAGAAUUAUAACUAAUCUUUUUUUUUAUUUUUUUAAUUGAAAACGAGCAAAUUUCAGGGCAAUAAUUCCAAUUGCAAACGGGUUUGUGGCACUUGUCACCAAGUCUACACCGACAUUUGGCCGCGCGAUCAGCCAUUCGUCAAUUAGCCAGAGCGAACAUAUUAUAUUCACUUAUUUUUCCUGAAUUAUUCGGUCUAGGCACAACGUGGUGGGAAACUGAUUACAAAUCCAUGGAGUUGUUGUCCAGAUUAACAUAUCUUUGGAUGAAAAUAACCGCGACAUUUUGAAACAGGUAUUUGUGUUGUAGUUACGCCAGUGAUUUAUUCGCCAAUGACUCGAUUGAUAUGUCAGCAAGCAAGAACAUUUGAAAGGUGGAUGAAGCCCGACAAACUGUCACUCGUGGCACUUUGCCAUGGAUCAACUCACGCUGAAGGUCGACUGACUAUAGAGCCAAAAGCCGCCACCAGACGCAUCGAACGAAAAUCAGUUUUGAGAUCCUCCCCGAUUCCUUUUUUAAUUAAAGGGCGGUGGCUCAAUUCAACGCAGUUGAUGAACGAUAAGGGGGCGGUGCUUCUUGCGACUCUUGAGCGUCCUCACUCCGGCAAUAAAAAGGGAA